rnacentral:tRNA from 1 species
GGGGAUGUAGCUCAGUAGUAGAGUGCUUGCCUAGCAUGCAUGAGGUCCCUGGUUCAAUCCCUAGCCUCA